rnacentral:lncRNA from 1 species
UCAUUCAGAUGUUAUCUCAAAAAUCUGACAAGAUAAAAGUGUCGUUGAGCCAGUAAACGGUUUUUACAGUUUCACAUAUUUUACCAGAGAACUGACCGAUUUCAUUUCUUUCUGAUGCAGAAACUUGGCUCUGCACACCAGCCGACCAGCAGACUGAUGAAAUGACCAACAAGGAACCAAGCAGCAUAAUGUGCUCCAUACAGCUGACUUCCACAAACGGGGCCCUGUGUAUCAUCAAUCCUCUCUACCUUCGUGAACAUGGAGACGAUUGGCUGACCCACAGAGCAAAUGUCACACAGUCCACUAUUUCGCCCUUAAAUAAAGGCCGAGAGCGGCGCCUCAGCAGCACCCGAGUAUGGCCAGGAGCAGGAUUACACAGUAAACGAGCCAUCUCAUUGGACCAGGAACUCUCUGCAGCCAGUACAGAGAGCUCAGGUCAGAACCUGCUAUCUUCAUGCAUGAAUUCUGAUUUUAUGUAGUUUAGUGUUAUACCCAGGAAGCAAGGGCAACCAGCUAGCCUGGCUCUAUCUAGUACAUCUAAAGCGUAUUAAUUCACAGGUUAUAUCUCAUCGGCUUAAACAGAAGAGAUAUAAUGUGUUAAUUAGUCUCAUUUAGAAAUACCUGAAGGCUUUUAGCUGUUUCCAUAUGCUUCCAUUCUUUAUGUAAAGCUAAGUUAACCAUUCCCUGCCUCUAGCUUCAUUUUUGGCAUAAAGACAUUUAUGUUAAUUAUCUGCUCAUCUGACUCUGAGAAAAUCUCUGAAUUGCUUCACAACAAAGCGUUUUUUUAAGAAUUCAAUCAUAAAUAGUUUAGAUAUCAUGAAGUAUAGUUCAUUAAACAGAAACGUCAUGGCCAGGUCCAUUAGUAAGCAGGUAGAAAAUUGGGUGAAUUGACCCUUUAGACACAGAAUCAUGUUUAACUGAUGGGAACAACGUGGGGGAUCGGCUUUAUUAGGUUUCUGUUCUCAACAAUAUAUGAAAGGUGUUUUUAUUAGUUCAGCUGAAGUCACUGAAACAUAGUGUCCAUAUUCCAUGUGUCCUUUUCUAGGUCUAAGCUAAUGUUAAUCAGCAAAGCAGCAGUGUUUCUAUAUGGUACAGGUCUUAGGGUUCAGGCACUGACAACAGGUGUCCUGUGUUCUCCCCGUUUCUAGGUCUAACCAGAGCCAAGUCGGCCGAUUCACCGCACUGCCCUUCAAACCCCUCAGAUGCUUCAGCAGGGGUCAUCCUCAGGAGGCCCAGCCGUGACAUCGUCAGCAGCCCCCCAUACAGAGCCAGCACAGGGAGCAUUCCUUCAUCUAUUUGCUCCACCCCACGAAGUUUAUGUAGUUCAGCGUUCGAACUGCAGUACCACGGCAGCCCCGUCCCUCAGUCUCCUCACAGGGUAUCUUGGAUCGAAGAUGGUGUCUGGCUACCUCCACCCAGGCCUUCCUCCUUGCUCCAUCCGCCCUCUCUUGAACUUGACUCACUGUCAAUCAGCAGCAUAG